rnacentral:pre_miRNA from 1 species
AGCUUUUCGAAUCCGUGCUGAGAUUUCGUCAGACACCAACCCAUUAGGGCUGAUCAACCUCUCAAGAUAAGUGAAGUU